AUUGAACGCUGGCGGCAUGCCUUACACAUGCAAGUCGAACGGCAGCACGGGAGCAAUCCUGGUGGCGAGUGGCGAACGGGUGAGUAAAGUAUCGGAACGUGCCCAGUCGUGGGGGAUAACGUAGCGAAAGGUACGCUAAUACCGCAUACGAUCUAUGGAUGAAAGCGGGGGAUCGCAAGACCUCGCGCGAUUGGAGCGGCCGAUAUCAGAUUAGGUAGUUGGUGGGGUAAAGGGUCACCAAGCCGACGAUCUGUAGCUGGACUGAGAGGACGCCCAGCCACACUGGGACUGAGACACGGCCCAGACUCCUACGGGAGGCAGCAGUGGGGAAUUUUGGACAAUGGGCGCAAGCCUGAUCCGGCCAUGCCGCGUGCAGGAUGAAGGCCUUCGGGUUGUAAACUGCUUUUGUACGGAACGAAAAGGUUUGACUUAAUACGUUGGACUCAUGACGGUACCGUAAGAAUAAGCACCGGCUAACUACGUGCCAGCAGCCGCGGUAA
rnacentral:rRNA from 1 species